GACGAACGCUGGCGGCGUGCUUAACACAUGCAAGUCGAACGGAAAGGCCCUGCUUUUGUGGGGUGCUCGAGUGGCGAACGGGUGAGUAACACGUGAGUAACCUGCCCUUGACUUUGUGAUAACUUCAGGAAACUGGGGCUAAUACCGGCUAGGAGCUCCUGCUGCAUGGGGGGGGUUGGACAGUUUCGGCGGUUGGGGAUGGACUCGCGGCUUAUCAGCUGGUUGGUGGGGUAGUGGCUUACCAAGGCUUUGACGGGUAGCCGGCCUGGGAGGGUGACCGGCCACCUUGGGACUGAGAUACGGCCCAGACUCCUACGGGAGGCAGCAGUGGGGAAUAUUGCACAAUGGGCGGAAGCCUGAUGCAGCAACGCCGCGUGCGGGAUGACGGCCUUCGGGUUGUAAACCGCUUUCGCCUGUGACGAAGCGUGAGUGACGGUAAUGGGUAAAGAAGCACCGGCUAACUACGUG
rnacentral:rRNA from 1 species